GAUGCGCCGCUUUAAUUUGAAGCCACAUUUUUACUGAGACAAGGAGAAGACUCAAAGGGGGGCGCUGGUUCCUUGAGGCUGCAGUAAAGAAUUUUGUGCAAUAUACGAAAGUAAGACACAGAGAGGACACAUUAACCUAACCUGUCAAAUUAAGUGCCAGCAGACGCGGUGAAACUUAAGGGUUAGUCUUAUAGGCAAAAGCGUAAAGGGUGUGAUAGGCCGCCUUAUUAAAGAGAGUAAAUGGAAUUUUUCUGUAAUGGUGGUAUGUGAGAAUAGGAAAAAGAACUUUAGACGUGAGGACUAUUUAUUUCUAAGAUUAUAAUAUGAUGGCUAAAACACGAGAGUGUGGGGAGCAAACAGGAUUAGGUACCCUGGUAGUCUAUACUGUAAAUAAUGAAAAAGAUGUGAAGCAAUCCUAAAAGGUAAGAAAUUUUCCGCUUGAGUAGUACGAUCGCAAGAUUAAAAUUCAAAAAACUUGGCUGUUCACUGUUUUAAUUAGAGGAGCGUGUCGUUUAAUUCGAUAGUCCGCGAGAAACCUUACCCAAACUUGAAUCCCCUAUUGACAGGUAUUGCAUGGCCGUCGUCAAAUUGUGUAUUAAACAUAAAACCAAUUAAACUCAGUAGUUUGUCUAUUGAAUGAAGUCAGGUCUUAUUGUCCUAAUGUUUGGGGAUUAGAUGCGCUACAUUUUCUUAUACAAUGGGAAACUUUGAAUGUGAAACCCUAAAAUAAGAGUUCGGAAGGUGCCUGGAAGAUAACGGAAAGUUGGAUUUAAUAGUAAUUGAAAAGUAGAGCGUUUCAAUGAAAUCUUUUCAGUGUUAGUACAAAUAGCCCGUCGCCUUUGCUUAGAGAGAUUGUUUGAACGCCUCCUCUUAUGGGGGUCCCGAGUACCUACGAGGCAGAGAAAGUCGUAACAUAGUGAGGGUGAGGGAACUGGCCCUUGGACCAAA
rnacentral:rRNA from 1 species